AAUAGAUACCCUGGUAGUCCACGCCGUAAAACGAUGAGUGCUAAGUGUUAGAGGGUUUCCGCCCUUUAGUGCUGCAGCUAACGCAUUAAGCACUCCGCCUGGGGAGUACGGUCGCAAGACUGAAACUCAAAGGAAUUGACGGGGGCCCGCACAAGCGGUGGAGCAUGUGGUUUAAUUCGAAGCAACGCGAAGAACCUUACCAGGUCUUGACAUCCUCUGACAACUCUAGAGAUAGAGCGUUCCCCUUCGGGGGACAGAGUGACAGGUGGUGCAUGGUUGUCGUCAGCUCGUGUCGUGAGAUGUUGGGUUAAGUCCCGCAACGAGCGCAACCCUUGAUCUUAGUUGCCAGCAUUUAGUUGGGCACUCUAAGGUGACUGCCGGUGACAAACCGGAGGAAGGUGGGGAUGACGUCAAAUCAUCAUGCCCCUUAUGACCUGGGCUACACACGUGCUACAAUGGAUGGUACAAAGGGCUGCAAGACCGCGAAGGUCGAACGCGAAAUCCCAUAAAACCAUUCCUANCCGAAUUUCGGGAAGUU
rnacentral:rRNA from 1 species